GGAGGUAUUUCCGUUACUCCCACACGCCUUCCUCAGUGAUUUAGUAGUAGUGUUUUGGUUGUCGAGGAACACUGUGUCCGUAUAAACAUCAUGAUGAAUCUCGGCUCCUAAAGCUGCACCUCCAGUCACCAGUCCGUCAAGCUCCUGAAGUUUGGGGAUGACACCAACCUCAUUGGACUGAUCUCUGGUGGGGAUGAGUCCGCCUACAGGUGGGAGUCUGACCAUCUGGUGUCGUGGUGCAGCCAGAACAACCUGGAGCUCAACGCUCUAAAGACAGUGGAGAUGGUUGUGGAUUUCGGGCGGAACAGAGCUCCACCUUCCCCCAUUACUCUGUGUGACUCCCCCGUCACUAUUGUGGACUCUUCUGUUUCCUGGGCUCCAUCAUCACCCAGGACCUCAAGUGGGAGCUGAACAUCAGCUCCAUCACAAAGAAGGCUCAGCAGAGGUUGUUCUUCCUGAGGCCUCUGAAGCAAGCCAAAAAGAUCGUAGCCGACCCCUCUCACCCCGGACACAAACUGUUUGUGCCCCUUCCAUCUGACAGGAGGUUGAGGUCCAUCAGGACUAACACCUCCCGCCACACGAACAGUUUCUUCCCGUCGGCAGUCGGGCUCAUCAACAAAGCCCGGUCCCCCAAUGACUGACUAUAACAUUCACUCUGCUUCAUACUGCACGUCACUUUAACUGUCAUUUUUCACUUUGUCGUCACUUGUCACUUUGUUACUUGUUCGCUAGUGCACUUUAUGCUUAAUACUUUUUUAAUAUUUUAAAUUUUUAACUCUAACUUUAUUCUCUUGUUUUAUACUAAUCCAUAGCCUUAUUCUACUAACCCAUUGCAUUAGCAUUUCAUUUUACCUUAUUUUAUUACUUGUGCACUGCUGCCUUGUUGUCUAUUGUUACACUGUCUACUGUCACGCACCAACCGCCAAG
ensembl:lncRNA